rnacentral:lncRNA from 1 species
UAUUGUGUCUCCCAAUGUUGGCUGCAACAAGAGAAGCUGCUUGAUUCAAAUAUUCAUUUCACUCUGUGAUGUCCUUGAUUUGCAUUUAACACAAGUACGUGGGGCUCUAUAUUGUGGACUUUGCAUUUAAAUGGUAAGUACAAACAGUUGGGAUGGUUCAGUUGGGUGUGGUCUUUUCAUUGGGUGCAUUGGAGUGUGAGGGAGUGUGGUGUAUAUAGAGUAAAGGUGUGCCACCCACAGUCAGUCAAUUGUCUUGCUGUAAAGCAUUCUAACGCCAGUGGUCAGGCUCUCUUCCAUCCAGCAAGAGCAAUUUCAGCAAAGGACCAGUGCUCUGUUGGGGUUGCCAUUCUUUGUGCACAUGUACACCUUUUCCCCUUUCCGAGCGGACCGUCAAAUGACUCUGGAACUAGUGACUCACUGCAGACAACCGCGAGGCCACAAACUAUGACUGGUUUGCCAUAUUGGCUUGUGCGUCAUUUUGGCUACAAGGAAGUGUGUUCGGACUGCUUGCGGUUCUGCUUGUCACUACUUCACUAUCAAGUGGAUGGUCGAACAAACAUUUUGAGGACCAACUACCUAUAAACGUUGGGCAAGCCCUGGAGUCGUUAACAACUCGACCACUUCACCUUUUGCCUUUUUUACCACACACGCAGGUGUCUGUCAACAUUAACUGCCAAUGCAGACCCCCUCUAGACAUUGCAAUGUGGAUGGAUGAAUCCAGCAAAUAUCCAUGAAUCCUGGGCCUGCGGUACUUGACAUUAAGUUUCACAAUUCAGCCCGCAGAGCUCCCCAUAUCAGGAUCAAUCAACAUGAUCAAGAAUUCGACCGUCAUUCCAUCCUGGGACAUUCGGAUCAAUUUUGGCAGACCAUGAGUGAGCAGAAUUUUGUCGCAUAAAGUGAAAGCUGAUAUGGAAAAUAAUUUCAUCCGCUAUUCUUGUGAUGAACUGAUAGCUCUACCAGGCCUGCCCCUUUGUGCCUUUGGUCUGGGAAAUCGCAUGGUUAAAAAAAUACAAACAAUGUGGAAGACGUACUAAUCGUCACAUCUCAGUCAUCGUUCCAGAUACCACUAGAAGGCCCACCAAAAGUGAUUCUGGAGUAAAUAUGUCUUACUUAAUUAAGCUUAAUCUAACAUGUUGACGUCUUCAGUUUUUAGAUCUAAACAAAUUGCCAACAGGCUACAAUGAUCGUUUGUAAUCCCCGAUCUUGAUCAGAUGGAUAAAUUUACAUCAUUUCUGCGUGUUGAACUGAUUCUAACUGCUUGUGUCUCUAAAACUUGUUUUACAAGGGAUACGCCCAUUGAACAAGUCAAUAUUAAUAAUGUUUGCCUGUUUUCACAGUCAAACCCGGAUCGAAGUGGCAGAGGUGUAGCCUGAUAUUCUCAUGGCACGUAAUUGCCACUUACUAUGAUGAAGCAAUUCCAAAACAACUUGAAUUACUUUGGGUCAAAAUGACAUAGGGCCCUAGCCAUUUUCGCAGAAACUUGUGUCCUGUCUGUUUUAUGGUUCCCCUCCAAAAAAUCCCGGUGACGACAUCUUGAUAAUUACGUCAUCUGCAAGAAACUGUUGAUAAAAUUACUACUGAUCAUCAAGAUCAAUGAAUUCGUCUUGAUAUUAGUCAACUAGUAAAUGGUUCUUUUGUUCAGGUGGUAGAUUGUCACACAAGCAGGUUGUCUGAGUGUCUUAGAUAAGAUUAUUUCUGAUAUCCUAUGCUCAUUAUCAAAUUCCAGUUACUAUGGCUCCUCUUUGGCGUAGCGACCAUAAUGUUGUUUUAUGGAAGCCCAAGGGAAAUGGUUCUCAUCCAAAUGACAUGACAUACUAAAACCUUUCGACCAGUUAGUCCAACAAUCUACUAUACGCGAAUUCGGCCAAUGUGCCACUCAGUAUGCUUGGUCCGAGUUUUACACUGCACCAGGCACCCAGCAAAAAUCUGAUGUAUUCUAAAGUGCAUUAAAUGGUGCAGUUAUCAUACAUUUUCCAUCGAAGUCCAUAAAGCUGCACGUUACCGCAUAAGCCUUGGAUGACAGCUGAAAUUAAAUCUUUGAUAAAGCAGAGGCAAGCUUUGUUUUCUUGUAGCAAUUUCAGAUGGAAGUCGGAAACAAAAUUGCUUGUCUCAUUACAAUCGCGAAGAAAGAUUAGUAUCACCACCGUGUUCAAAACCCUGGCAAUAUGAUAUUGAGCCAUAAAAAUGACAUCCAUUUGAUUUACCAUUAAUACCUGCGUACCUACCGUCUCCAGAAUCCUGUCGUUCAGUUCAGGUACGGGAGGUUUAUAAACAACUUCCGCACAGGAAGGCAGGGGACCAGAUGGAAUGCAAGAAUCCAGUAUCCGUGAAUUUGCGUCUGAAUUGAUCAAGCCUCUUUUCUCUAUUAUUAAGUCAUCAUAUAAGGAAAGUGAAUUUCCUAACCAGUGAAAAAAGCAGUUAUUGUUCCCCAUCCGAAAGAGUUCUCCGCCAGUAUGGAACAGGCUUUGGCCAGUGUCUUUAACCGAUAAUUUUUCCAAAGUAGCCGUUCGAGCAUUUCGUUGCUCAAUGGAUUACUUCUGACUGCAUGAGAACCUAACUUAGAACCAGUUUGGAAACAAAAACGGGAUAUCAACUCAUUGACAAUUCACGUUUUUAUGCCCAAUCUCCUAGAAGUUUCAUCACUUUAGUAAUUACGGAUUUUAGUAAAGCGUUUGACCAUAUUGAUCGUAAUGUUUUCAUUUAGGAUUUGCAUCGUAUGGGCACACGACCAUGAAUAUGUAGUUUUUUAACAGAGCACCCUCAGUGUGUUGGGUAUAAAAAUGUGAUGUCUGCUUUCAAUGCUUCAAAAGGAAAAUCAUCCCAACGGACAACAUUUUGCACCUCAGGAGUUUGGGUCAAUUUUAAUAGUGCUGUCAAUUCUGGGACCACUGUAAAUGAAAAGGUCUUGAGUUUUAAAUAUGUUGAUAUUAAACUUAUUGCAAAUUGUCUGAAUAACAAUCCAA